rnacentral:rRNA from 1 species
UGGGGAAUAUUGCACAAUGGGGGAAACCCUGAUGCAGCAACGCCGCGUGAAGGAUGAAGGUUUUCGGAUUGUAAACUUCUUUAGUCAGGGACGAAUAAAUGACGGUACCUGAAGAAUAAGCCACGGCUAACUACGUGCCAGCAGCCGCGGUAAUACGUAGGUGGCAAGCGUUGUCCGGAAUUACUGGGUGUAAAGGGCGUGUAGGCGGGAAUGUAAGUCAGAUGUGAAAUCCCAGAGCUUAACUCUGGAGCUGCAUCUGAAACUAUGUUUCUUGAGUGCCGGAGGGGAAAGCGGAAUUCCUAGUGUAGCGGUGAAAUGCGUAGAUAUUAGGAGGAACACCAGUGGCGAAGGCGGCUUUCUGGACGGUAACUGACGCUGAGGCGCGAAAGCGUGGGGAGCAAACAGGAUUAGAUACCCUGGUAGUCCACGCUGUAAACGAUGGAUACUAGGUGUAGGAGGUAUCGACCCCUUCUGUGCCGGAGUUAACACAAUAAGUAUCCCACCU